AUGUUCCUGAUACACUAUACGUCCUGUACACAUAAUACGUAAAAGGGCGUGUACGAGUGUGAUGAACUGUAAAUGGGAAAUCGUGGACGCCACUCGGAGAAUUCGUGUGCAUUAUUACUUACGUCAUUUUAAGGAUGGGUAAUGUCGAGGGGUGGUCGGAAACGCGACGUACCAGGAAAUUAAUCCGAUUCAAGAUUAUGAUAAUGAAAACAUCGUGGCACGACGGAUGUCACCGAACACACUUACACUGCGGGCACACGACAGACGUCAGUGGUGAUAACACCCCUCGCCAACCAAUCACCACUACUAUUCAAAAACGAUUUCACCCCAAGUGAAUAUACACAACAGCCGUGGUGAAGAUUUUUAUACAAAUACAUUAUGCGCGUUAUGACCACGAGUACUUU